rnacentral:rRNA from 1 species
AUACGGAGGGUGCAAGCGUUAUUCGGAAUCACUGGGCGUAAAGGACGCGUAGGCGGGUUGGCAAGUCAGAUGUGAAAUCCUACAGCUUAACUGUAGAACUGCAUUUGAAACUGCUAACCUAGAGUAUGGGAGGGGGAGAUGGAAUUAGUGGUGUAGGGGUAAAAUCCGUAGAUAUCACUAGGAAUACCGAAAGCGAAGGCGAUCUCCUGGAACAUAACUGACGCUAAGGCGUGAAAGCGUGGGGCGCAAACAGGAUUAGAAACCCCUGUAGUCC